rnacentral:lncRNA from 1 species
CUUGGCUUAGCUGGACAGCUUUGUGCUUGAUUUCUUCAUGGUGAAGCAACCUUUUUUCCUUUGGUUUGUUACUUGAUUUUUGUUGGUUGCUUGACACUUUUGCGUUGUUUUCUUUAAGUUAAGGUAAGCAUUUGAUUUUUUGCAAGUUGCUUGGCCUACUUUAACUUAGGUUUCUUCAAGACGAAGUAAGCUAUCUUCCUUCAAGGAUAUGUAACCAAAUUAAGCACAUAACAUGCCAUGCUUUAACUUGAUUAUUUUUAGCAAUUCAUUUUGAG